rnacentral:lncRNA from 1 species
GUAUGUAUUUUGUGUGGUUAGGGACUUAAGAAAAAUUGAUGGUGAUUGUUUUGGGAUGGACCACACACACGGGACACUUUCUCCUUCCCCGUGCCCUCUCUCUCUCUCAUCUUUCUCUGUCACUCGUCUCUCUCUCUUCCUUCGAAAUUGUACGGACCACACCCAAAGACCAUCAAAACUUCAUGGAUCGAAGUGGAGAUUAGCACCAUUGUGUUCGUGAGUGCCCUACGAACUCAAAGGUACCAUUUUCAGGUAAGAAACCCUUCGUUUUCACGUUGAAAACUCAAGGU